AACGAACGCUGGCGGCAGGCUUAACACAUGCAAGUCGAGCGCCCCGCAAGGGGAGCGGCAGACGGGUGAGUAACACGUGGGAAUCUACCCAUCCCUGCGGAACAACUCCGGGAAACUGGAGCUAAUACCGCAUACGCCCUUCGGGGGCAAGAUUUAUCGGGGAUGGAUGAGCCCGCGUUGGAUUAGCUAGUUGGUGGGGUAAAGGCCUACCAAGGCGACGAUCCAUAGCUGGUCUGAGAGGAUGAUCAGCCACAUUGGGACUGAGACACGGCCCAAGCUCCUGCGGGAGGCAGCAGUGGGGAAUAUUGGACAAUGGGCGCAAGCCUGAUCCAGCCAUGCCGCGUGAGUGAUGAAGGCCUUAGGGUUGUAAAGCUCUUUCAGCGGGGAAGAUAAUGACGGUACCCGCAGAAGAAGCCCCGGCUAACUUCGUGCCAGCCGCCGCCGUAAUAC
rnacentral:rRNA from 1 species